UUAGCGCCAUCCGCUGACGGCUCAGUAACACGUGGAUAAUCUAACCUAAGGUGGAGGAUAACCUCGGGAAACUGAGAAUAAUACUCCAUAAGUCUAGGAUACUGGAAUGUACUUAGGCUGAAAACUUCGGUGCCUUAGGAUGAGUCUGCGGACUAUCAGGUUGUAGUCAGGGUAAAGACCUGACUAGCCUACGACGGAUACGGGUUUUGAGAGAAAUAACCCGGAGAUGAUAUCUGAGACACGAUAUCAGGCCCUACGGGGCGCAGCAGGCGCGAAAACUUCACACUGCGCGAAAGCGCGAUGAGGGAAUCCCAAGUGCUUGCACUUUUUGUGUAAGCUGUUUUUAUGUCUAGAAAGCAUAGAGAGUAAGAGCUGGGUAAGACGGGUGCCAGCCGCCGCGGUAAUACCUGCAGCUCGAGUGGUGAUCGUUAUUAUUGGGCCUAAAACGUCCGUAGCCGGUUUAUUAAAUGCCUGGGUAAAUCGGGCAGCUUAACGGUUCGAAUUCCGGGUAGACUGAUAGACUUGGGACUGGGAGAGGCUAGAGGUACUCCUGGGGUAGAGGUGAAAUUCUGUAAUCCUAGGGGGACGACCAGUGGCGAAGACGUCUAGCUAGAACAGGUCUGACGGUGAGGGACGAAGCCCUGGGGCGCAAACGGGAUUAGAUACCCCGGUAGUCCAGGGUGUAAACGCUGCUUGCUUGAUGUUAGUCGGGCUUCGAGCCCGAUUAGUGUCGGAAAGAAGUUGUUAAGCAAGCUGCCUGGGAAGUACGGUCGCAAGACUGAAACUUAAAG
rnacentral:rRNA from 1 species